GUGCUCACUUUGGCAGCACAUAUACUAAAAUUGGAAUGAUACAGAGAUUAAAAAAAAAAGAUACAGAGAUUAGCAUGGCCCCUGUGCAGGGAUGGUAUGCAAAUUUGUGAAGCAUUUCAUAUUUUU
ensembl:snRNA U6 U6 spliceosomal RNA